rnacentral:rRNA from 1 species
UACGUAGGCAGCGAGCGUUGUUCGGAAUUACUGGGCGUAAAGAGUGUGUAGGCGGUGCUCUAAGUUCGGUGCGAAAUCUCCCGGCUUAACUGGGAGGGUGCGCCGGAAACUGGAGUGCUCGAGCGUGGGAGAGGAAAGCGGAAUUCCUGGUGUAGCGGUGAAAUGCGUAGAUAUCAGGAGGAACACCUGCGGUGUAGACGGCUUUCUGGACCAUUGCUGACGCUGAGACACGAAAGCGUGGGUAGCAAACAGG